GAUAAUAUUUACAAUUUUUAACAGAGGGACUCAUUUGUCAAUAAAUGAAUUUUACUCAAAAUGAGAUUACAAAUGAUGACCUUAUAAAUAGGUUAGAUUGAAUAAUUUCGAAACAAGCUUUAUCAUUUUCAACCAUGAGAUUUAAAACUUCAUAAACACUAACAAUAUCAGAUCAAGAGUGAUACAUGAAAUAUACAUAGUUCAACUGAAGCACACAACUGAAGUCAAAGUUCCAAUAUCAAGAUUGUAUCAGACGAAGACAAUGUUUUGAGGUGCCAUGAUGAAAUUCCUCAUAAAAGAGCAGAAUGCAAGAGCGCUGAGUAGAGCUGCAGACAUCAGCGUCGGCAGGAGAAUGUGAAGUCCGAGGUGACUGGAGCAGAAGAAACUCAGGGACACACACAUCGCCUGAUGGAAAAAAUAAAAUCUAUGAAAAUUAGUAUUUCUUUGUCUGUGGCAAA